UGCGUAGGCGGCGCAGCAAGUCGGGUGUGAAAUCCCCCAGCUCAACUGGGGAAUUGCGCCCGAAACUGCUGUGCUAGAGGAAUAUAGAGGUGAGCGGAACUUAGGGUGGAGCGGUGAAAUGCGUUGAUAUCCUAAGGAACACCGGUGGCGAAAGCGGCUCACUGGGUAUUCUCUGACGCUGAGGACGGAAGCUAGGGGAGCGAACG
rnacentral:rRNA from 1 species